GAUAAACGCUAGCGGCAGGCCUAACACAUGCAAGUCGAGCGGUAACGGGAGUAGCAAUACUUGCCGACGAGCGGCGGACGGGUGAGUAACGCGUAUGCAACCUACCCUUUAUUCAGGGAUAGCUUUCCGAAAGGAGAAUUAAUACCUGAUAGUUCAUUUUUAGGCAUCUGAGAGAUGAUAAAGAUUUAUUGAUAAAGGAUGGGCUCGCGUCCGAUUAGGUAGUUGGUGAGGCAACGGCUCACCAAGCCGACGAUCGGUAGCCGGACUGAGAGGUCGAUCGGCCACAUUGGGACUGAGACACGGCCCAGACUCC
rnacentral:rRNA from 1 species